rnacentral:rRNA from 1 species
AUUGAACGCUGGCGGCAGGCCUAACACAUGCAAGUCGAGCGAGCGGCGGACGGGUGAGUAAUGUCUGGGAAACUGCCUGCUGGAGGGGGAUAACUACUGGGAACGGUAGCUAAUACCGCAUACCAUCCGAUGGUCCCAGAUGGGGGUAGCUGGUGGGUGGGGUAACGGCUCACCUAGGCGACGAUCCCUAGCUGGUCUGCGAGGUUGACCAGCCACACUGGAACUGAGACACGGUCCGAACUCCUACGGGAGGCAGCAGUGGGGAAUAUUGCACAAUGGGCGCAAGCCUGAUACAGCCAUGCCGCGUGUGUGAAGAAGGCCUUCGGGUUGUAAAGCACUUUCAGCGGGGAGGCGUUACCCGCAGAAGAAGCACCGGCUAACUCCGUGCCAGCAGCCGCGGUAAUAC